AUUUACUUGAGUGCGAUAGAGGCAAGUGGAACUCCAUGUGUAGCGGUGAAAUGCGUAGAUAUGUGGAAGAACACCAGUGGCGAAAGCGGCUUGCUAGAUCGUAACUGACGUUGAGGCUCGAAAGUAUGGGUAGCAAACGGGAUUAGAUACCCCGGUAGUCCAUACCGUAAACGAUGGGUGCUAGUUGUUAAGAGGUUUCCGCCUCCUAGUGACGUAGCAAACGCAUUAAGCACCCCGCCUGAGGAGUACGGCCGCAAGGCUAAAACUUAAAGGAAUUGACGGGGACCUGCACAAGCGGUGGAGCAUGUGGUUUAAUUCGAAGAUACGCGAAAAACCUUACCAGGUCUUGACAUACCAAUGAUCGCUUUUGUAAUGAAAGCUUUUCUUCGGAACAUUGGAUACAGGUGGUGCAUGGUCGUCGUCAGCUCGUGUCGUGAGAUGUUGGGUUAAGUCCCGCAACGAGCGCAACCCUUGUUAUUAGUUGCCAGCAUUUAGUUGGGCACUCUAAUGAGA
rnacentral:rRNA from 1 species